AAUUAUCCAGUGCUUCCUCCACCCUUAAGGAUCCCCUUUUCGUCCUAUCCGCCGUCAAACACAGGACUCAGUGCAGGGAGCGGCCCCCGCACCCCGAGGGCACUACUGGGGGCGGAGAGUUAAAAACACGGAGAGGAGGACGCUCCGGAGAAGAGGGGAGCAUGGCGGGCAUGAGGUACUGAGUGAAAAGGGGGAUGGCGAGGGAAACGGGGAGCGAGGGAGGGGAGAAAGAGUAAAAAGCGAAGACACGAAGGGACACCAGCCGGGUCGCGCGAGGCCUAAGUGAAAGACCAGGGCGCGCGCGCGGGGGGGAGGGGAAGAGGUGAAGGGGAGCGCGAGGCGGGGGCGCGCAGGCCGGGCUGGGGGAGGGGACGCCAGGCGGGGGCGCGCGGGCGGGCGUCGGCUCGCGGGCGCUUCCCCUCCCCCCGCCCUCCACCUUUCCCCUCCCCCACCGCCGCCUUCUCGCAGCCUCGCUCCCUCCGUCUCUCCUCACCGCCCCCGGGCGGGCUGGCGGGCUGGCGGCCAGGCUGGCCUAGGCCAGAGCUCCUCACCUGGCAGCGACGGCGGAACUCCCGACCAGGUCGCUUCCUCAGGCGGCCGUGAAGGCGUCGAAAAAGGAGGCGGCGACGGCACAGUGGGAUCCAGACCCCACUGGCGGGUCCGGGAGCGGGGGUGGGGGAGGGGGCGGGCCGGGUCGGGGAGGGCGGGCGGGCGGAGCAGACACUGCGGUACAGACAGGGGCAGCAGCGGCGGCGGCGGCUGCACCGGCGGCGGCGGCACCACACAAACAAGGACGCUGAUUGGGCAGCUGCCAAGCGCCUUGACUCCGCCUUAACCACACGCCACGACGACCAUUGGAGGAACUUAGCCGGCUACCCGCCCUCCUCUUCUUGCUCCUACCAAUUGAAAGCGGGAUAGCGAGACUUCACCCCACCCUUGAGGAGUGGGUGGCUGGAGAAGUAGUGAUUGGCGUCAAGAAAAUCCAAUCAUAAAUGGAGAAGGGGGAUGGUCUAGCGGGGGCGCGUUAAUGGGUACCUCGGCCAGUCCCAGACACAUCCGGGUCUUCGACAGCCCAUUAAGUGUCGGGGGUCAAAAAAUCGCUUCAGGCUGCAGCUUUACCUUAUAGACGUUUUGGUCCCCUGGCAGCCGCCGUACCACCUAGUCUCUUAAAACCGGGAUUCUCCUUUGACAGGCUCUCAUUCUUUCACGUCUAAAGAUGGAGACUGAGAACGGCGCUGGUCUCUGUGUUUGGGUGGGUGGUGUUUCAUCGCGACAGAAUCCAUGAAUUUAGGGACAGGACUAGCUUUAGGAGCUCUGCCUUGUCUUUCUGGGGUGUGGCCUGCCCCGUUCUGCCCAAGGCCUUGGGACUCGUAUGUUAAUUUACUUCUGAUGGGUCCUUUCCUGGUUGUAUCAUAACAGCCGAAAGAAAAAACAAACAAUUAGCUAAAUGUACUGAAUUUAUGGUGUUCAUAGUGUAUACUCUGGGAUCUGGUCUUUUUCUGUUCACAGUGAGGAUAUAGCUUCCCACCCCACCCUAUUGCACUAGCCAAGUCAAGGCCCGGCUUCUUUUGCUAGCCUGGCUAUCUCCUACUUCCUCGAAGCGGUUAGGCCCGCCUACAUUCUACGUUUCUAGAACACCAUGAAUAUUCUUUCUGAGCGCCCAAGAGAUGAGAACUAAUUAUC
rnacentral:lncRNA from 1 species